UUCCCUCUUCCUCCUCCCCCUUCUUCUCAUUCUCAUCCUUUGGUUUCGCCCUGUUCUUGUUCUUGGUAAGGACGAGGCAAACUUUGCUUCACGAGAGCUUAAGCUUCAAGCCAUCAAGGUCAAAAUGGGUGAAGCUGAGGGUGGGUUCACUCCACUGUCUCAGUUGAAGCCGUCACCGGAGCACAGGCACAGAGUCCGGGUGCGCAUCUCGCGGAUUUGGGAGUCCUUCAACCCAAACGAUGGCACAGUGUUCGGCCUUGACAGCCUUCUCAUCGACGAUGAGGUGAUGAUGCAUUCCCUACCCGAUGGUUCUUGAUGCCACCUGCUACUAUUGUCCAGUUAGCACCCUCCGAGGUUUCUCGACACAAUGAUCCUUCUUUUCGCCUUUCACUUGUAGGGUGGAACCAUGCAAGCCCAUGUACAUCGAAAAGUUAAAAAGCGUGUCGAAGAACGGUUAAUUGAAGGGAAGGUCUACACCCUGUCAGAUUUUGAAGUUUGUUCAAGCAAGGGGAACUACAUGGCCUGUAGGAACCCCUUCAUGAUGAACAUUGGAGCGCAGACGGUGAUAGAUGAGAUCGAUGGAGAUGUCAACGUGAUACCUCUCCACCACUUUGAUUUUGUUGACUUUGGUGAUGUUCCUCCUUCGAUGGGCCUCAACAAUAGCUCAUUGACAGAUGUUAUUGGCCAAGUAGUAGAAGUUUGGCCCAUACAGCAGGUCCCGAAAAAACUCUGCGCGUUACAAUUUUGCAGCUUAUGGAUUGAGGA